GGAGCGGCCGGGCCCGGUGGCCCAGCCGGUCUUCAAAACCGGUGAGGUCGCGUAACCCGCGGCUGGGUAGGUUCGACUCCUGCGCCGCUCCGC
rnacentral:tRNA from 1 species